CCUACGGGUGGCAGCAGUGGGGAAUAUUGGACAAUGGGCGAAAGCCUGAUCCAGCCAUGCCGCGUGUGUGAAGAAGGCCUUCGGGUUGUAAAGCACUUUCAGUGGGGAAGAAAGCCUUGGGGCUAAUACCCUCGAGGAAGGACAUCACCCACAGAAGAAGCACCGGCUAACUCCGUGCCAGCAGCCGCGGUAAUACCGAGGGUGCGAGCGUUAAUCGGAAUUACUGGGCGUAAAGCGCGCGUAGGCGGUCUGAUAAGCCGGUUGUGAAAGCCCCGGGCUCAACCUGGGAACGGCAUCCGGAACUGUCAGGCUAGAGUGCAGGAGAGGAAGGUAGAAUUCCCGGUGUAGCGGUGAAAUGCGUAGAGAUCGGGAGGAAUACCAGUGGCGAAGGCGGCCUUCUGGACUGACACUGACGCUGAGGUGCGAAAGCGUGGGUAGCAAACAGGAUUAGAUACCCGAGUAGUC
rnacentral:rRNA from 1 species